rnacentral:RNase_P_RNA from 2 species
GCAACUAGCGGCAUCAAUGGCAAACACACCGAGUGCGUUCGUUCCGACCAACGUCCCUCUUCGUUUUCCCAAGCGAACCUUUCCGCCCAUUGGGAAGGUCCGAGAUCCCCGUUCCUGCACCCGCCGCCAUGCACUUUCGCCCGUCGUUUCUGCGUGGUUGGCGUUCCUCUCGCCGGGGCCCGAGCAUGUUCCGCAUUCUUUCUUUUGGAACACGGGUGGGCAGGCUGGCCGCCUUUCGGGGCGGUCGUUGUGGCACCAGCAACCAGGGUCCUCCUCGGAGGAUCAGUGAGAGCCGCCACAGUGGGGACAUUCUAUUCAGUGCAAUAUGCUGCAGCCCUGCCCCUCCGUCGGCCACUGGUCGGCGGAUCGGUACGGCCAACUCAAUUCGGACUAUUGUUGC